rnacentral:rRNA from 1 species
CCUACGGGAGGCAGCAGUGGGGAAUAUUGCACAAUGGGGGAAACCCUGAUGCAGCGACGCCGCGUGAGUGAAGAAGUAUUUCGGUAUGUAAAGCUCUAUCAGCAGGGAAGAAAAAAGACGGUAUCUGACUAAGAAGCGCCGGCUAACUACGUGCCAGCAGCCGCGGGAAUACGUAGGGGGCAAGCGUUAUCCGGAUUUACUGGGUGUAAAGGGAGCGUAGACGGAGAAGCAAGUCUGAAGUGAAAGCCCGUGGCUUAACCACGGGACUGCAUUGGAUAAUGUGUGACUAGAGUGCUGGAGAGGGAAGUGGAAUUCCUAGUGUAGCGGUGAAAUGCGUAGAUAUUAGGAGGAACACUAGUGGCGAAGGCGGGUUACUGGACAGUAACUGACGUUGAGGCUCGAAGGCGUGGGGAGCGAACGGGAUUAGAUACCCGGGUAGUC